rnacentral:lncRNA from 1 species
AGCCUGCGCCUCUGCACCGCGUGCCCGGGCCUGGAAGUCAGACUCCCAGCGGUGUGGCAGCGCCAGGCCUGCAGUAAGCGCAGGGUGGCCUCUGGCCUCGGAGAGGGUGUGUCUCCCUGCCUCUUCAACCUGGCAGGGGCUGUUCAAGUGGACGCAAAAUCAGUGAUUUGCAGAGUGGAGGGCUGGUGCUUUGAAAGAGAGGCGGAGGGGAGAGAGGGAUUUCCCCAUCCCCGCUGUCCAUGCCCGCGGUUACUCCUUUUCUGGGCCCGGGAGGCCCCUAACCUGCUGGAGGAACCCUUAUGCAGUAGAGGCGGCCCGGUCCCUUUAAGACCCCGCCUCGCCUGCGCCUUGGGUUCUGACGCCAUCCUGAGGCGCCAGUCGCGGGCUGGACCCGGGCUCCGGGCUGGCUGGCGGUUGAGACUGCGGCGGUACUGGGAGGGGUGGGUGAGGGUCGCGAGGCUGUCUGAGCUUCUGAGUAAGCAUAGCGCUUGUGGAACGCCGGAUUGGCGACCUGCUGCGCUAGGAGCUGGGCCGAGGCGCCCACCGCACGGCUGCCGGCUGUCCUCUGGAUGGGAAGUUAUGGCGAAGUCCACCCAGCCUUUCCGAGGUGAGGGCACCGCGCCCGGCGGGGCCAGCGGUGAAUUCGGGACCUGCAGGUGCACAGCUGGGUCGAGGCGCGGCCAGGCAAGUUUUGUUGCGCGAGGGGUGGUGGGUGUGGGGAGUACACGGCCGGGGCCUGAGUUCCCUGAGCUCGAUUCUUCCCCUGCUGCUGCCGCCGGCAGCUCACCUCUGGUGCGCUCUGGGGAAGAAACUCGCUGGCGGGUGUUCUGUGGCAUCGCAGGCGGUGGAGGGACAGAGCAGCUUUGGGGGCACGUCCUCCUAUGUCCUGUAGAGGACACUGACCCCAGACCUCACCUUCGAGUCCAGAAAUCGGUUUCCUCUGCUUGCAAAGUUGGAGUCUUUAUUGGCCUCCGGGAUUCUGCUCCUGGCGGAGUCUUCAGGCUGGCGAUGGGCAAGCCAGGUGUGCCAGGUCCAGGAUGCACCUGA